CGCGCCUACAGGGAGAGUCAGGAAGUUGUCGCGAGAUGAGGAAAUCCUGACGCUGGGUUUGUCUUCCUGACCCGGGAGGUGAAAAGUUUUUGUUUCCCGUUUCCAUAAAGGACAGUUACUUAGAAGUUGCCAUUGUUACCGAAACGCCAGGUUAUAUAGUCCUCUGCUUUUAAACCUUUAGUCAUGACAAUGGACAUGAAGUGAGAGGGUGAUGUCUGGGCCUCAGCUGUCAUCUGUCCUAUGCUGGCAUUGGAUGAACCUUAUCAAGUUCCGUCUUUGCUAUGAAAAUCUCAGAAUGGACUGCAAUGUUGCUGUCACUCCUUUUGCAUGGGAUGACACUGUAGCAGCUUUUCCUGAGCCCUUCACUUGUGGGGCAUCACCAGGUGGGGAAGACAGAACAAGUGACACUCAAUCCAAUUGGUGUAUCACAGGAGAAGAAAGAAAUCACCUAAACUGGACCAUCUAUACUCCAUUAGGGAAGGCACCACCUGUAAUGGUCUUGGGCACUGGUUUAAGCAUGACACAAUAAUAGGUGCCAAAACAAUUUUCACAGUGUUGGACAACAAAGAAGACAGAAAAGCAUCUCUGAGAACAUCAUUUUCCAGUAUGAAGAUGUAGCUGUUUACUUAGGAGUGAUUUCCUCAAAACUCUUCCCAGAUUACAAAUGUUGUACUUCAACAUGUAUAUAAAGAAUAUGAAUAAAAUUUCAACUUUAAAUGAGUUUGAAGCUUAAAUAGUUUCCAGAUAUUAGAAGAACUAGUUGGAAGAUGAGCUUAAGUAAACCUCUUAAA